AGCCGCAGCAACAAAGUUAAAACGGCGGUGGUCGCGCACCUACCCGCUGUCUGUAAUGUCUCCUCCGGGCGAGGGGUGCUAACUGAGACACUGGCGGGGUGGGGAGAGGCAGAGGUGCGGGGAGGGACCGGGAGAUGGGUGUUUGGUGAUCUCUUCCUUUCUCUCCCCUCUUCUUCCCCCCCCCUUCCCCCUUCUCUCUCUCGACUCUCAAGGACGAGGUGAAAUCCCUUUGCUGGUCAUGAGGCGGCUUCAGAGACAAACAACACAAUGCGAGUGCAAAUAACAAAAGGGAAAAAGAGAGGGGAGGGGGGGAGAAAGAGAAACCGGAGAGGGAGACCGGGAACAAUGGGGGAGGAGAGGCUCGCCGCGCCGCGCCUGGCCGCCGCCGGCACCCCGGCAGGCAGGAGAAGGCGGCGGAGGAAGGCGAGGUGGCGGCAGCGGUGAGGGCGCUGCGUGAGGAGUCCCACCGGCGCGGCAGGGCUUCCUCAGACAAACCCCGACCUCCUGCGCGCUGGCUGGUGCCGCCCGCCCCGCCGCGCACUGAGGCGGCCCUCCGCGGCGGCAGACUGGCCAACGGGGGCUUUUAUUUUUUAUGAAGCCGUUUCUACACGUGCAACACGCGGCGGAACGGUGAAGGGGGCUAGGCGGGAUUUGAGCCUGGGAAGCGCUCUAACUAUACACUCGGAGCCAAACUGUUCAAAGAAGAGCAAGUUCGGUUAUUAUUCAGCUCCACGAGGGAAGCCUUAUCUCCUACAAAUAUUUGAUGCUGGGACAAGUCCAAUAAUUAACAAGAACAAUCAAACAAAUUCACUGCCUUCUCGGGGAUUUAAAAAGUCAUCAUCUGGAAUUCAUGAGCAUUACAGCUUUUUACUUUUUUUUUUUCCCCCUGCUGCUUGGAUACGAUAUUGUAUAUAAUGUUUUCAGUCUGCGUGUGUGUGUCCCUAAGUGAUUUUACCCUUUGAUGCAAAAAGACGCAAACCACUAACAGCACAGAUAACACUCACAGCUACUGAUUCAGUGAGACUUAAGACCUCUCCGUAGGCAUGGGGAGAGCGGGUGGUAAUCCCGACGGAGUUAAAAAAAAAAAAAAAAAAAAAAAAAAAAAAGAAGAGAUGCAGGAGUGUUUGUUUCGGGAAUGUUUGUUUCUUCUCUUCCUCCCUACCUCUGUGCAGGAACCCCCACGUUUGUCCUGAGGGUGGGAUGAAAGCAUUACAGAUCUAAUGCAGCACUGCGUGGCACAAGGUUUUGCCAGCACUGCUUAAUAUAAGCAUCAGCCCUCCCAGCCAGCCCUGUAACUCCUCUUGCCAAAGGAAUAGCCAGAGAGGGAGAGUAAUAGGAUCCUUGCACUAUGUAGUGUGGCCCUCAGGACAUGUUUGCUGCCUGGUUGUAGUGAGCCAACAGGGCUGAAUAAGUAGUGGCCCAUGCCCCAGUUGUAUCCUACCCACUCUCUGCCCGCCUCCUCGCCCACCCCCCCAAAACAAAACAAAACAAAACAACCCACCAAAACCCCUACAAUCCAAACUUGCCUUGUUUGGAUCAAAUCCAAACUUUUAAGAAGGGUGCCCACUCACAAAGCUUCACCAUACACUGCCCUAACCACCAAAUUCUCCACAAAUUCUCACACUGGUUAUCAAAAGUCUCAAAUCUCAGUCUCCACAUCUUCAUGCAAAACCCACUUCUGACAGCCAGCAGUCCCCGGAACUGGUGUGGGCAAUGAAUUGUGUUGUGCAUGUAGCUCUGCUCUGCCUUUGGUAAUCUCAAGUUUAGGGAUCUAGAGCCAAGCUUCUCUGGCUUAGGCUCCCAGGAGUGCCUGUGUCUUCCCCACAUCUUCUAGAGCUCUGUUCUGUUGUACAGUUCCUAUCUAUUUUUUCCCUGAAGUGCAGACCUUCUCCCUUCAUUUCCUUAUUUAAGCCAACUCGUCUCUUCAAUCACGAUGAAGUCCAUUGCAGUUCAACACAAGAAAGGAAUUAGGGUUGUUUGGUCCAAACACAAUGGUGCGAGACUAUUACACUCUCCACUGUGGGAACUGUAGUUGUCUAUUACAAUAGGAUCAGUGGAAAAGAUUACCACAAGAAGAAAAAAAAAGGCAGCUCCACUGGACUGGUACUAGCUGUAUUUGAGUUUCUCUUAAAUAAUGAGGACUCCUGUAAUCCUAUUUCCAAACAUUUUUUGAAACCAUAGUUGUGAAUGCCAAUAAUUAUUUAUUGUUGGAGAUAAUUCUGCUGUUUUUUUCCUUUGUUGUCAUUAAAAUCCUUUAAAGGAAGGAUUUUCCCA